GUGGAAGGUUCUUGUGGAGUAUUGGGGAUGUGAGCAAGCACAGGAACGUAGUGUGACAAAUCGUGCCAAUCGAGAUAAGCAAAAGAUGGGUCACACCAGCGGUAGGCGAUCACAUCCUCAGGUUAGACACCAGAUGACUAUUGAAAGUGGAGAUGAGCCAGAUAGAAUCAAGCUCUUUAGAAAGACACACACCAAAAAGAGCGGAGAGAUAGUAGACUCUACAUCUUCAUAUAUAAUU